UACGGAGGGGGCUAGCGUUGUUCGGAAUUACUGGGCGUAAAGCGCGCGUAGGCGGCUUUGUAAGUUAGAGGUGAAAGCCCAGGGCUCAACCCUGGAAUUGCCUUUAAGACUGCAUCGCUUGAACAUCGGAGAGGUAAGUGGAAUUCCGAGUGUAGAGGUGAAAUUCGUAGAUAUUCGGAAGAACACCAGUGGCGAAGGCGACUUACUGGACGAUUGUUGACGCUGAGGUGCGAAAGCGCGGGGAGCAAACAGG
rnacentral:rRNA from 1 species